UACGUAGGCAGCGAGCGUUGUUCGGAGUUACUGGGCGUAAAGGGUGUGUAGGCGGUUGUUUAAGUUUGGUGUGAAAUCUCCCGGCUCAACUGGGAGGGUGCGACCGAAUACUGAAUGACUUCGAGUACGGGAGAGGUGAGUGGAAUUCCUGGUGUAGCGGUGAAAUGCGUAGAUAUCAGGAGGAACACCGGUGGUGUAGACGGCUCACUGGACCGUAACUGACGCUGAGACACGAAAGCGUGGGUAGCAAACAGG
rnacentral:rRNA from 1 species